rnacentral:rRNA from 1 species
AGGGUUUGAUCCUGGCUCAGAUUGAACGCUGGCUGCAUGCUUAACACAUGCAAGUCGAACGAGAAAGUGCCUUCGGGCGCGAGUAAAGUGGCGGACGGGUGAGUAAUGCAUAGGAAUCUGCCCAGUAGUAGGGGACAACUCGGGGAAACUCGAGCUAAUACCGUAUAUUUCCUAAGGGAGAAAGACUUCGGUCGCUAUUGGAUGAGCCUAUGUCAGAUUAGCUUGUUGGUAGGGUAAUGGCCUACCAAGGCGACGAUCUGUAGCUGGUCUGAGAGGAUGAUCAGCCACACUGGGACUGAGACACGGCCCAGACUCCUACGGGAGGCAGCAGUGGGGAAUAUUGGACAAUGGGCGAAAGCCUGAUCCAGCAAUGCAGCGUGUGUGAAGAAGGCCUGAGGGUUGUAAAGCACUUUCAGUAGGGAAGAUAAUGACGGUACCUACAGAAGAAGCACCGGCUAACUCCGUGCCAGCCGCCGCGGUAAUAC